UUGAAAAAAAAGACUCAAAUUAAUUAACCCUCCCCCCAACCCCCUUCCCCACUCUUUCUAUCGUAUUUUCCCCAAAACAAAACCCGAUCCUCUCUAUGUGGUUUUUAAUCUGAAAGCAUGAGAAAUCCUUAAAAAUUAACUCUCUCAAAUUUAUCUCUCUAAGGUUGAAGACUCACGUGAAGUCUAUUUGAACUGGGUGAAGACUCACAAACCGACAAUGAAAAUAGUUAUCAAUCUGAACAGGGUUUGAAGAGUUGAACUUACAAGUCAAGAUACAAGUUUUGAAGACUUCAUGCAGUGUAGUUAGGAAAAAAGUUAUUUUUGCUAAAAGAUUGUGUAAACAGCACCAUGACAUAUGCAUCACGGUUAUACAAUUACCAGUGAGAUGUAAUACCCUUUUUUGUACAUGUACAUUUGUAUAUUUGUUUAUGAAAGCAUGAUGUUAUUGAUAUUUUUGUUA